rnacentral:rRNA from 1 species
GAACUGAAGAGUUUGAUCCUGGCUCAGAUUGAACGCUGGCGGCAUGCCUUACACAUGCAAGUCGAACGGCAGCGCGGACUUCGGUCUGGCGGCGAGUGGCGAACGGGUGAGUAAUACAUCGGAACGUACCCUGUUGUGGGGGAUAACUAGUCGAAAGAUUAGCUAAUACCGCAUACGACCUGAGGGUGAAAGCGGGGGACCGUAAGGCCUCGCGCAGCAGGAGCGGCCGAUGUCUGAUUAGCUAGUUGGUGGGGUAAAGGCUCACCAAGGCGACGAUCAGUAGCUGGUCUGAGAGGACGAUCAGCCACACUGGGACUGAGACACGGCCCAGACUCCUACGGGAGGCAGCAGUGGGGAAUUUUGGACAAUGGGGGCAACCCUGAUCCAGCAAUGCCGCGUGUGUGAAGAAGGCCUUCGGGUUGUAAAGCACUUUUGUCCGGAAAGAAAACGUUCUGGUUAAUACCUGGGGCGGAUGACGGUACCGGAAGAAUAAGCACCGGCUAACUACGUGCCAGCAGCCGCGGUAAUACGUAGGGUGCGAGCGU